GAUGAAGAACGUAGCGAAAUGCGAUAAGUAAUGUGAAUUGCAGAAUUCAGUGAAUCAUCGAAUCUUUGAACGCACAUUGCGCCCGCCAGUAUUCUGGCGGGCAUGCCUGUUCGAGCGUCAUUACAACCCUCAGGCCCCCGGGCCUGGCGUUGGGGAUCGGCGGAGCCCCCCGUGGGCACACGCCGUCCCCCAAAUGCAGUGGCGGUCCCGCCGCAGCUUCCAUCGCGUAGUAGCUAACACCUCGCGACUGGAGAGCGGCGCGGCCACGCCGUAAAACACCCAACUCUUCUGAAGUUGACCUCGAAUCAGGCAGGAAUACCCGCUGAACUUAAGCAUAUCAAUAAGCGGAGGA
rnacentral:misc_RNA from 1 species